rnacentral:rRNA from 1 species
AGUCGAGCGAGCGGAACCAACAGAUUUACUUCGGUAAUGACGUUGGGAAAGCGAGCGGCGGAUGGGUGAGUAACACGUGGGGAACCUGCCCCUAAGUCUGGGAUACCAUUUGGAAACAGGUGCUAAUACCGGAUAAUAAAGCAGAUCGCAUGAUCAGCUUUUGAAAGGCGGCGUAAGCUGUCGCUAAGGGAUGGCCCCGCGGUGCAUUAGCUAGUUGGUAAGGUAACGGCUUACCAAGGCGACGAUGCAUAGCCGAGUUGAGAGACCGAUCGGCCACAUUGGGACUGAGACACGGNCCAAACUCCUACGGGAGGCAGCAGUAGGGAAUCUUCCACAAUGGACGCAAGUCUGAUGGAGCAACGCCGCGUGAGUGAAGAAGGUUUUCGGAUCGUAAAGCUCUGUUGUUGGUGAAGAAGGAUAGAGGUAGUAACUGGCCUUUAUUUGAACGGUAAUCAACCAGAAAGUCACGGCUAACUACGUGCCAGCAGCCGCGGUAAUACGUAGGUGGCAAGCGUUGUCCGGAUUUAUUGGGCGUAAAGCGAGCGCAGGCGGAAAAAUAAGUCUAAUGUGAAAGCCCUCGGCUUAACCGAGGAACUGCAUCGGAAACUGUUUUUCUUGAGUGCAGAAGAGGAGAGUGGAACUCCAUGUGUAGCGGUGGA